rnacentral:rRNA from 1 species
AUACGAAGGGCCCGAGCGUUAUUCGGAAUCACUGGGCUUAAAGCGUACGUAGGCUGGUAUAUAGGCGUCUUGUGAAAUCCCUCGGCUCAACCGAGGAACUGCAAGGCGAACCAUAUAUCUUGAGACAGAUAGAGGUCGUCGGAACGAUUGGUGGAGUGGUGAAAUGCGUUGAUAUCAAUCGGAACGCCGAAGGAGAAGUCAGGCGACUGGGUCUGUUCUGACGCUGAGGUACGAAAGCGUGGGUAGCGAACGGGAUUAGAAACCCUAGUAGUCC